rnacentral:rRNA from 1 species
UACAGAGGGUGCGAGCGUUAAUCGGAAUUACUGGGCGUAAAGCGCGCGUAGGCGGCUUUGCAAGUCGGGUGUGAAAUCCCCAGGCUUAACCUGGGAACUGCACUCGAGACUGCAUUGCUAGAGUAUGGGAGAGGGAAGUGGAAUUUCCGGUGUAGCGGUGAAAUGCGUAGAUAUCGGAAGGAACAUCAGUGGCGAAGCGACUUCCUGGACCAAUACUGACGCUCAUGUGCGAAAGCGUGGGGAGCAAACAGG